UGCGUAGGCGGUUUAGUGGGUGUGAUGUGAAAGCCCCGGGCUUAACCUGGGAAGUGCAUCGCAAACUAUUGAACUGGAGUAGAUGAGAGGGUGGCGGAAUUUCCGGUGUAGCGGUGAAAUGCGUAGAGAUCGGAAGGAACGUCAAUGGCGAAGGCAGCCACCUGGCAUCAUACUGACGCUGAGGCAAGACUGGGGAGCGAACA
rnacentral:rRNA from 1 species